UCCGAGUUGACCCCGGCAGUCUCCUACGAGUCCCCGCCAUUACGCGCUGGCAACAUAGGACAAGGGUUGCGCUCGUUGCGGGACUUAACCCAACAUCUCACGACACGAGCUGACGACAACCAUGCACCACCUGUGUACCGCCCCGAAGGACACCGUAUCUCUACGGCUUUUCGGUACAUGUCAAGCCCAGGUAAGGUGGGGAUGACGUUCCAAGGUUGGUU
rnacentral:misc_RNA from 1 species